GAUGGAAAGAACCUAUAAACUGCAAGGGAGUCAAGUGCUUCGAUAAAAACACCACAUCACAACCUAUACAGAACUACUCGAAGGAAUCAUGGAUAAACAGAAUUGGUUUAAGGAAAACUGGGCUUACGUAUCGACAGUUGUAUGCGGCCUGGUGAUUAUAGUACUCCUUGCCUACCUGAUAUAUUGUUACUGCCGCUUCAUCAAGGUCAACACCGCACCCAAGCGAAGUAACCAAAUGCUGAGGUGAGUGUGUUUCGACCCUUUCAGUCACGUCGUUCCAAAAAGAGGAAGAAGGGCGUGACUCCAUCCUCCCUCUCGGUCUCAGCAGCCUCCCUCUCGGUCUCAGCAGCUUCCAGCCCCAAGCCGUUACCUCCACCUCGCCUGCAGACUUUACCAAAACAGGAUAGAAGAAACACCUCCACCUUCAAGCAGAUGACUUGUAACGUAAAAUCUGAUCAGAAUCAUCUAGUCUAUAAAUACGACCAGUUUGCCAAUCCAAGCAAUGAGAUAUCGUACAAUCUACCAUCCCAGAUAGUUCCUGCAGCCCCUGAACAUAAUUACAUAGAACCAGACGAUCCUUACGAUUACCUGGACGCCAUUACACCUCAUCAUCCAGCAUUCCAACUUCCUCUUAAAAGUGAAUCGUCAUAUUUACGGCAAAAUUACCACUCACAGCCUCAAAAAUCCAGCCCAUUCAACAGCUUACCGAAAGCCACAUCCCGACUUCCUACUUACAAGACCGAUGACCUUCGUUCGCCUAGGCCUCGCUUUCCCAUCUCAAAACCUAAGCACUCACUCCCCUUUGCCCCGUCUGUUUCCAAUAGAGACCCAAGACUAUCCCCUAAGAGGCACCUUGUAUCAAAAAACAACACCUUCUCCUCCUCCCCCUGUCUUCCCGUCCCUCCUUCCCCCCCUAAAGAAUUCCAGUCAGCUACUUUUGCACUCCCUCUGACUCCAGAUUAUACAAGGCAGGAGAGCAUGCAGGAAGCGACGGUCGAACUGGCUUUACCUAGCGAGAGUGCCAUCCUGAGGUUCGCCAAACAAAACCGAGUCAUGCGUCCUGUCACCAUGGCGCUGAUGGAGGUCGACAAGAGAUUCCGACUCAAGUUAAAGCUGAUGGUGGAAGACGAUAAUGAAGUUGGAGAGACAGACUAUGAACACUGAACGAGUCUCACAAGAGUAUUUGAGGACGAUGAUUUAGCUCUCCAGGACUCAAAGGGUUAACAAAGAAUCACCUUGGCUGAAUGGAAAAGAAUUAAGAUAUAAUCAGUGAGGAAACUUAAGUUAAUUCAAGGUUAAUCUAGAUUAUUAGAUGAUUCAAAUGAUAAAUUAUAGGUGAUCUGAUCUUAUGUAACAUUAUAUAUACAAUUACCUGUUACACUUCUCCUCAUUGCUCACUUAACCCAUAACUGUAUUUUUUAGUUUUAGUAUAGUACAAAUACAUCAAUGACAGGUUACAGAAUAUUUUUACCAUUACAGUAAUUAUAUUUAGGCUCCUGUCUAUACUUAGUUGAUUAUUCCAGUGUUGUUGUUUGUUGAGGAUAACACUAUGAGAUCACCUGUACUUGCCAGGUAGCACAUCCUCAGACGUGUAUCUAUGUAUCUGUCUGUCUAUAUAAUGAGGAUCUGCAGUGACGUAAUACACAUAUCCUUACUAUAUGCCACACCUUACUGACAAGUUAGAGAGAUACGUGAUUAAGGCUAAAUAAUUCAUCUCUACGUACACUCGGCGGUCUGUUGGUAGCGCUGCCGUCUUCACAUUUUGUAAGGCUGCAGUUAAAAUCCAGCUGAUAGAUAUGAGGUCUUAUCCUGGUAUAUGUAUAACUAUGAUUAUUGUAUGUAAAGAAAACAAUUUAAUUAAUUCUUGCAAAAUAGAAAAGUUUCAUUAUGUUCGGUGCCUUGUAGUGGCGAUAGUGAUGGGGGAUGGGGGAGACGGAAGUUACGUUGAUAAUAUUGUCGUUUCACCUUGCUGUACAGUACGCCACAUGCACUAUCACCCACCACCACCAUACACACUGCCACCCACCUCCAUACACUGCCACCCACCACCACACAUCA